UGGGAGUCCAGCGACAUAGCCACUAUGCCAACUGCUGGUCCCCGUUUGGAAUAUUUUAGUUGCUAGGAAUAUGACAAGCUUCCAGAGAUGUUAGGUAAUGUUCUCAAACACUUGGUGAUUAAUUACAGACAGUAUUCCUCAGAAAUGUGAAUAGGGAGCCCUAAGGGAUAGCGAGCGAGUCCCUUCUCUGUCCUACAACAAAGACUCAUCACUUUCCAGAGGUCCGAUGGAGCUUGUCCGUUUCUCCUGAACUUCAAGUAUACAGCAGCCCUGUUAUGGCCUUGGAGAUGUGAGAGAACUACAUUACCCAGAGAGCUCUGCGAGGAAAGACAGAAUGGCAGAGCCAAUAAAUGCUCACACAUAAAAGCAUUUCCGGUUGAAAAACCGACGUCGGGGUGGAACUUCCGGCUUCCUCCUUGUGGCGGCCAUUUUUCCUUCUGCUUGUUGGCUUGGUCUCAGUCGGAGUCUCCUGACUGGGAUGUCUGACUGAGGACGGGAGAAGGACGAGAGGAGCCGUUGUCCUGCCGCACAGAGACGGAUCUGAGGCGCGGCGACGCCGCCAGGGCGACUCACCCAGGCCCCGGGCAGGGCCCGCUGCGUCAGUCCCUGUCGCAGUGUCCGAUGGCGGCGGCCGCGCUGAGGGAGCCGGCUCCGGGUGGUGUGACCUUUGAAGAUGUGACUGUGAACUUUUCUCAGGAAGAAUGGGGUUUCCUUAAUAAGGCUCAGAGGCUCCUGUAUUGUGAUGUGAUGCUGGAAAACUUGACACUGCUCUCCUCUCUGGGUUGUUGGAGUGAAGCAGAAGAUGAGGAGGCACUUUUCAAGCAAAGUAUUUCUAUACUAAGUGUAUCUCAGGUCAGGUUUCCCAAUGUAGGUCUGUCUUCCAACAAUGCCCACUCCUGUGAAAUGUGUGGCCUGAUGGUGGGAGACAUUCUGCAAUUGGCUGAGCAUCAGAAAACACAUGGAGAGCAGAAAUUGUACAGGUUUGGAGAAUGUGGGGAAAAGUUAUAUGUUGGUACAAACCAUCAGCACCAGAGCCAGCAAACUGAAGAGAAACUCUACAGAAGCAGUACGGGGGGACCCUCGUUUGUGCAGACCUCUAAUUUCCAUGUGUCAGGGAAACCAUUUAUUUUCAGUGAGAUUCGGAAAAAUGUUUUGGUCAGCUCAGGAUUUUUCCUACAAGAGGCCUCAAACAGUGGGAAGAUGUCAAAUUUUCAGGAGGGAGAAGCUUAUUACAGCUUAGGAGAAUGUACAAACACCUUCAGCUCCAAACAUUCACUUGUUCAGCACCAGAGACUUCUCACUACAGAAGUGUGUUACAUGUACGAUGACAGUGGGAAAUCCUUUAGCAAAAGCAAUAGCCUUAAUAACCAGCAGAGAGUUUACCCUGAAAAAAGGCCUUAUGAAUGUGGAGAUUGUGGGAAAUUCUUUGCUGAAAACUCUAAACUUACUAUACAUAGGAGAGUGCACACUGGAGAAAGGCCCUAUGAGUGCAGUGAAUGUGGAAAAUCCUUUGCUGAAAAUUCUGGUCUCAUUAGACAUAGGAGAGUUCACACUGGAGAAAAGCCUUAUGAGUGUGGAGAGUGUGGAAAAUCCUUUAGCUUAAAGUCCAACCUCAUUCAGCAUCAGCGAGUUCACACUGGAGAAAGGCCUUAUGAGUGCAGAGAAUGUGGAAAAUCUUUUACUCAAAGGUCCAAUCUUAUUAAACAUCAGAGGGUUCACACUGGAGAAAGGCCUUAUGAAUGCAGUGAAUGUGAUAAAUCCUUUGCUGAAAGCUCCAGUCUCAUUCAACAUAAGAGAGUUCAUACUGGAGAAAGACCUUAUGAGUGUGGGGAAUGUGGAAAAUCUUUUAGCCAAAGGUCCCAUCUCUUUACACAUUGGAGAGUUCAUACUGGAAUAAGGCCUUAUGAGUGCGGAGAAUGUGGGGAAUCCUUCAGCAAAAGUAACAGCCUCAAUAAUCAUCAGCGUAUUCACACUGGAGAAAGGCCUUAUGAAUGUGAAGAAUGUGGGAAAUAUUUUCUACAAAGGUCCAACCUCAUGACACAUCAGAGAGUUCACACUGCAAAAAGACUGUAUGAGUGUGGAGAAUGUGGGAAAUCCUUUAGCCAAAAUUAUAACCUCAUUCAACAUCAACAGGUUCACACUGAAAAAAGGCCUUAUGAAUGUGGAGAUUGUGGGAAAUCCUUUAGCCAAAAUUAUAACCUCAUUCAACAUCAACAGGUUCACACUGAAAAAAGGCCUUAUGAAUGUGGAGAUUGUGGGAAAUCCUUUAGCCAAAAUUAUAACCUCAUUCAACAUCAACAGGUUCACACUGAAAAAAGGCCUUAUGAAUGUGGAGAUUGUGGGAAAUCCUUUAGCCAAAAUUAUAACCUCAUUCAACAUCAACAGGUUCACACUGAAAAAAGGCCUUAUGAAUGUGGAGAUUGUGGGAAAUCCUUUAGCCAAAAUUAUAACCUCAUUCAACAUCAACAGGUUCACACUGAAAAAAGGCCUUAUGAAUGUGGAGAUUGUGGGAAAUCCUUUGCUGAAAACUAUAAAUUUAUUAUACAUAGGAGAGUUCAUACUGGUGAAAGGCCUUAUGAGUGCAAUGAAUGUGAGAAGUCCUUUGCUGAAAACUCCAGUCUCAUUAAACACAGGAGAGUUCACACUGGAGAGAGGCCAUAUGAGUGUGGGGAGUGUGGGAGUUUCUUUAGUCGAAAGUACAACCUUAUUCGACAUCAGCGACUUCACACUGGAGAACGUUCAGAUGAGUGUAAUGAAUGUGGUAAAUUAUUUAGCAACAGAUACCACCUUAUUGUACAUCAGCGAGUUCACACUGGAGAAAAGCCAUAUGAAUGUAAUGAAUGUGGGAAAUCAUUUUGCCAAAGCUCUGUGCUCCGUCGACAUCAGAGAAUUCACACAGGACAAAAGCCUUAUGAGUGUAGUGUAUGUGGGAAAUUUUUUGCUGAAAGCUCCAACCUCAUUAAACACUGGAGAAUUCAUACUGGGGAAAGGCCUUAUGAGUGCAGUGAAUGUGGACAAUCAUUUUGUCGAAGUUCUUCACUCCUUCAACAUCGUAUCAUUCACACAGGAGAAAGACGUUAUGAGUGCAUUGAGUGUGGGAAAUCAUUUCGCCAAAACUCUUCACUCCUUCGACAUCGAAGAAUUCAUGCUGGAGAAAAGCCUUAUAAGUGAAACACAUUUGGUAAACUAUAUCUGUGCUCCUUCAGUGUCAGAAAGUUCACACUGGGUUAAGGCAUUAUAAGUGUAUGGGAUAUGGUAAAUCCUUUAGCUAAAGAUGGUGUUACUACACAUCAGAAACUUAACAGUUGAAAAAGGUGUUACGAGUGUAGAGAAUGUGGGGAAUUAUUCACAAGUCUUACCUCAUUGAACACAGAAAAGUUCACAGUGGAAAAACACCUUGUAAUGAUGGGAAACCAUUUACCAAGUUCUACCUUGUUGUACACUAGGAAAUUCUUGCUAGAGUAAAACUUGUAAGUGUGGGGAAUGUUGUAAAUCAUUUAGCCAUAGCUCUGUACUCCAUCAAUGUGAAGAAUUCACACCAGAGAAAAACCAUAUUAGUGCAGUGAGUCUGGAACAUUCUUUACCCAAAGUUCCAACAUCAGAACACCAGGAAAAUAGGAGUACAGAGAACACUACAGAUCUUUUAGCCAUAGGUCUUAAUCCCCUAUACAUCAGAGUUCGUUGAAACAAGGCCUUAAGAAUACAGUGAAUGGGUAAUUUCUUUGCCUAAAACCUUAGUUUUGUGAAAUAGAAGAGUUCACACUAAAGAAAGGCCUCAAGUGUGCAACAAAUGUGAAAAUCACUUUGCUGAAGAUCUUCACUCCAAUAGCAGAAUCCAUGUGGGAGAAAGACUGUAUAAGUAAGACUUAUUUUGGAAACUACUUGGUUAAACCUCUAUGCUCUUUUUAGGUAAGACUUGACAUUGAAACAAGGCCUUAUGAUUAUGACGAUGUGGGAAAUUCUUUAGCCAAAAUUCUAUUCUAUACUGGAGAACUCCCCCUGGAGAAUCACCUUUUGAAUGGUGUGAGAAAGCCUUAUCAUUGAAUAUCAGAAUAUUUACAUGAAGAAAACACUAUAGAUGUACAGUAACAUCAUUUUCUAUUCAACAUGACCCUGGAGGAGAUCGUGUAUGAGAGUGCCAUCUGCCUAAAUUGAACCUCGUACAUCCAAACAUCUGCUUAAGUUCCAGGUUGACAUAUUCUGGUGUGAGAAAGUGGGAUUCAAAGUGAACUCACUUUGGAAGAAUCAGCAACCCCUGGGAUCAUGUAAGUCUUCAGGUCUUCUACAACCCAAGCACAAUCAUGGUUGCCAUGCCAGUCCCACCUGCCACCCCAAAGGAACACAUGCCCCAUCACCACAAGAAAUCGCGAUGUGGAGGCACCAAAAUCACAAUAUAAUGAUUUUGAAUCCUCAAAGAUUCAAUUUUUCAAGGCCACUGAAAACUCCAGAGGCACCUGGGGAAAUUCUACACCUUUUCUGUUCCCAAGAGUUCCCCAGGCCAAAAAUGAGGACAAGAUACUGCUGGCAUGUAUACUUGGAGGCUGAUGACUCUGUCCCAAAGAUAAAGCUCACUCUCAAAGAGGGCCUAAUUGUCCUAGUUGUAUCCUGCCCUUGCAGCCAGUCCCUAAGAUUGUCUCUAGGGUGAGACCCAAAGGAACUCAGCUUCUGGUGGAAGAAGAUGGGAUUCAGUGGAUAGUGAUACCUGACUUUUGAUGGGAAGGUGAAGGUCUCAACCUCUGCAGUGAAGAGACCAAGAGAGCCAGCCUUAGUGGGUAGACCUGCAAAGAAGACAUAGAUACACAAUUCCAUUACCUCCUCGGCCUGGGCUCUGAGUUUCAUUGUCUACCCUCUGCUCUUCCCUGUGUAAAUUUGCAAAGUGCCUUGGCAGGAUGAUGGGAAGAUAUAACGUCACCUAUUGUGCCAUCUUUCCCUCAAAGAUUAUGGCCCUAUGUCUGUUGUCUAGGUUUGAAAGUAGUACCUUCAUGUACUUGGUAUAAUUUUUUUAAAGAUUUAUUUAAUUCCAUUUGUUAUUCUUUAACUUGACUAGAGAGAGAGAAAGGGAAAGGAAAAGGGAGAAAGUAAGCCACCAGGUCCAGGAUUCAAACCACAGUCAGCCAUGUUGGAAUCCAGUGCCUUUAACCACCAUGCCACCUGCCAGCCCCAACUCAGUUGAAUUUAAUAAUUGUUUAUAAUAGUUUAUUUCUUAUCUCCUUCAAAUGUAUGCCCACUGGCCCUCUUAUUAAUAGGCCAUAUUUCUCCCUUUGUCCCAUACUAAAAUAGCAUUUCAUUCAUGGUUGGAGUUUUGAGAUGUUAGAUUUGAAACAGGAACUGAAUGUAUAUAUCAGAUAUGAAAUAUGUUGCUAACAACUGGAUAUCACACUGGGUAAUUUAUAAAUAAAAAUUUACUGGGUAAUUGGGAGUCUUGAUGUAUUUU